GAUGAACGCUAGCUACAGGCUUAACACAUGCAAGUCGAGGGGAAACGCCAUCGAAAGCUUGCUUUUGAUGGGCGUCGACCGGCGCACGGGUGAGUAACGCGUAUCCAACCUGCCCAUCACUUGGGAAUAACCUUGCGAAAGUAAGACUAAUACCCAAUGAUAUCCCACGAAGGCAUCGGAAUGGGAUUAAAGAUUUAUCGGUGAUGGAUGGGGAUGCGUCUGAUUAGCUUGUUGGCGGGGUAACGGCCCACCAAGGCAACGAUCAGUAGGGGUUCUGAGAGGAAGGUCCCCCACAUUGGAACUGAGACACGGUCCAAACUCCUACGGGAGGCAGCAGUGAGGAAUAUUGGUCAAUGGGCGAGAGCCUGAACCAGCCAAGUAGCGUGCAGGAAGACGGCCCUAUGGGUUGUAAACUGCUUUUAGAAGGGAAUAAAGUGGGUCACGUGUGACUUUUUGCAUGUACCUUAUGAAUAAGGACCGGCUAAUUCCGUG
rnacentral:rRNA from 1 species